rnacentral:rRNA from 1 species
CUAGGAUGAACGCUAGCGACAGGCCUAACACAUGCAAGUCGAGGGGCAGCACAAGGAGCAAUCUGAGGUGGCGACCGGCGCACGGGUGAGUAACACGUAUGCAACCUGCCUGUAAGCGGGGAAUAACCCGUUGAAAGACGGACUAAUACCGCAUAAUACUAAAUUACUGCAUGGUAAUUUAUUUAAACAUUUAUGGCUUACAGAUGGGCAUGCGCAUGAUUAGCUAGUUGGAGAGGUAACGGCUCCCCAAGGCAACGAUCAUUAGGGGUUCUGAGAGGAAGGUCCCCCACACUGGUACUGAGACACGGACCAGACUCCUACGGGAGGCAGCAGUGAGGAAUAUUGGUCAAUGGACGAGAGUCUGAACCAGCCAAGUCGCGUGCAGGAAAAGAAUGUCCUAUGGAUUGUAAACUGCUUUUGCAGGGGAAUAAAGUGAGCCACGUGUGGUUUUUUGUAUGUACUCUGCGAAUAAGGAUCGGCUAACUCCGUGCCAGCAGCAGC